ACCGAAGCAUGUUCUUUUGAACUUUGUCUACUGUCAUUUUAUACUAUCACUAUUUCAUAAUAUCUCACAUUUUGAUAUGAUGUUGAUUCUUCUUGUGUCUCUUCGCCUAGCAGAAGCCGCCUCUUAUCUGUGCUUCCCAUGGUGCACUAGCGUCCAUUCCCUGUCUUGGUGUCCUCAGAGAUAAGUACAUAAGGCAUACAUCUGAUCUUCUGUUGAGGGCUUGCAAUAGCAAAGUAGCUGGCGAUAGCUGAUAGGUCAUGGACGAAAUAGCCUCUCUCAUUUUCAUGUCUGAAAGCAAGAGAGAUCAUUUGGCAAUUCUGCUAAAAGUUUUCUCCACCCAACUUUAAACAAUAUCAUCACAUGGAAAUGAAGAGCAAAAAAGGUACAAAACUUGGACAGAUCUUCGAGGAGACUGGGUAGAUGUAGAAUCUUGGAUUUGUCAACAGUCUCUCACUCUUUCUUCGAACUCUCUUUAUGUUCUAGAAAUGAAAUGGAGACAUGCAGACACGUUUUGCGCCAAAAGCCAUAUAAUUUUCAUCCCAAUAAUUGAAAGGUGCUAUCCAAAUGAAACGAUUCGUGGCCUCAUUUGUUUGGCUUUGGAGUCUUGAUGGCAAAGAGGAGAAUAUUUCGUUAAUUAGAUUCAAAAUAUUUGAACAUACAUCAACAUUUUAAACAAAUUACAAAUACUGUCAAUGUCCAUCAAUGAUCAAAAUCUAUGCUAGACCAUAAGAACCUAUCAACAAUAGACCAAUGUUGCUAUAUACUAAAUUCGAAAAUGUUGCUAUA